AUUGAACGCUGGCGGCAGGCUUAACACAUGCAAGUCGAGCGAGCGGCGGACGGGUGAGUGAUGUCUGGGAAACUGCCUGAUGGGGGGGGAUAACUACUGGAAACGGUAGCUAAUACCGCAUACCAUCGGAUGUGCCCAGAUGGGAUUAGCUAGUAGGUGGGGUAAAGGCUCACCUAGGCGACGAUCCCUAGCUGGUCUGAGAGGAUGACCAGCCACACUGGAACUGAGACACGGUCCAGACUCCUACGGGAGGCAGCAGUGGGGAAUAUUGCACAAUGGGCGCAAGCCUGAUGCAGCCAUGCCGCGUGUAUGAAGAAGGCCUUCGGGUUGUAAAGUACUUUCAGCGGGGAGGCGUUACCCGCAGAAGAAGCACCGGCUAACUCCGUGCCAGCAGCCGCGGUAAUUC
rnacentral:rRNA from 1 species